CUUUGUAGGAAAUGACAAAGCGAUGACGUUAAUUUAUGAAUAAGCCCCGGCUAAUUACGUGCCAGCAGCCGCGGUAAUACGUAAGGGGCGAGCGUUGUUCGGGAUCAUUGGGCGUAAAGGGUGAGUAGGCGGAUAUGCAAGUCUAUGUGUAAAAUACCACAGCUCAACUGUGGAACUAUGCUGGAAACUGCAUGACUAGAGUCUGAUAGGGGAAGUUAGAAUUCUUGGUGUAAGGGUGGAAUCUGUUGAUAUCAGGAAGAAUACCAGAGGCGAAGGCGAACUUCUAGGUCAAGACUGACGCUGAGUCACGAAAGCGUAGGGAGCAAACAGGAUUAGAUACCCUGGUAGUCUACGCUGUAAACGAUGCACACUUGGUGUUAAUCGAAAGGUUAGUACCGAAGCUAACGUGUUAAGUGUGCCGCCUGGGGAGUAUGUUCGCAAGAAUGAAACUCAAAGGAAUUGACGGGGGCCCGCACAAGCGGUGGAGCAUGUGGUUUAAUUCGAUGAUACGCGAGGAACCUUACCAGGGCUUGACAUAUACAGGAUAUAGUUAGAGAU
rnacentral:rRNA from 1 species